AUGAAGGUAGCUAAACCGGUGGAAGACCCGCCAGUGCUUGCAUCUGACCCCGCCAGGCCAUCUUCUCCAUUAACCGACCCUCCAGCAGACCCGCCUGUUGAUGUAGAAACAAAUCCUCCUGAGUUGUCAUUUGAUGAAACCACUGUGAACCCUUCUGCUACUGGACCAUCAAGCUCAGCCAACCAACCAUCACCGUCUGCACAAGACAUUCAGAUCACCGGGAGCCACUUUAUUGAACCAGGGAAUCCAACCGUGCUGGCUCGGUGUACUGCAAAACAAGAGGCAUUGGAGAGGCAGAAAGUUCGCUUUGACGUUGCCAACUAUGACCAUCUAAAUGCCAAUGAUAUUUUAUCCGACUAUCUCAACCAUGUACACUCCAGUCGCGACUUUGAGAUUGAAAUGGUCAAACAGCUGCAAUUGAAAUACGAGAAUGCCUUAUCUUAA
rnacentral:rRNA from 1 species